GAUGAACGCUGGCGGCGUGCCUAAUACAUGCGAGUCGAGCGAACAGACGAGGAGCUUGCUCCUCUGACGUUAGCGGCGGACGGGUGAGUAACACGUGGAUAACCUACCUAUAAGACUGGGAUAACUUCGGGAAACCGGAGCUAAUACCGGAUAAUAUAUUGAACCGCAUGGUUCAAUAGUGAAAGACGGUUUUGCUGUCACUUAUAGAUGGAUCCGCGCCGCAUUAGCUAGUUGGUAAGGUAACGGCUUACCAAGGCAACGAUGCGUAGCCGACCUGAGAGGGUGAUCGGCCACACGGGAACUGAGACACGGUCCAGACUCCUACGGGAGGCAGCAGUAGGGAAUCUUCCGCAAUGGGCGAAAGCCUGACGGAGCAACGCCGCGUGAGUGAUGAAGGUCUUCGGAUCGUAAAACUCUGUUAUUAGGGAAGAACAAAUGUGUAAGUAACUAUGCACGUCUUGACGGUACCUAAUCAGAAAGCCACGGCUAACUACGUG
rnacentral:rRNA from 1 species